UCUUGGCGUGAAGUACGUUUUCACAUGAAAUGAAAAUGCAGAAGGAAAAUGGCGUGGAAACUUACAGGAUGCUAAUCGUAAUAAACUGUUAACGAUGUGACCUACAUCCGGGCGAUAUUUAUGUGACACCUUCAAAAAGAAAUAAACGCAUAACCCGUGGACAGUCUAUAUACAACACAGAGACCAAGCGUUGCCAAGAGACACUUAAACAGGCUUUGGAGUGCGUGACUCUUUGAAGAGAGCGUGACUCUUUGAAGAAGAAGAAAUGUUAAAAAUGUAAGAAUCUAAGAUCAGCGAGAGGUAGAAAGAGAAAAAGACAGAC